rnacentral:rRNA from 1 species
GAAGAAAGAACAAAUGGCGGACGGGGGAUGCCUAGGCUUCCGGCGGCGAAGAAGGACGCGGCAAGCUGCGAAAAUGUGCGGGGACCUGCAAGCAUGGAUUGAUCCGCACGUGUCCGAAUGGGGCAACCCGGCGGGUUGAAGGCCCGUCACACCGAUAAGGUGGGCGAACCCGGGGAACUGAAACAUCUCAGUACCCGGAGGAAAAGAAAGAAAAAUCGAUUUCCUGAGUAGUGGCGAGCGAAAGGGGAAUAGCCCAAACCGGCGAUGUUACGGCAUAGUCGGGGUAGUAGGGCUCCUCAUGAGGUAUCAUUCAAAGAACCGGAACGGUCUGGAAAGGUCGGACACAGAGGGUGACAUUCCCGUACGGGUAAUUUGAGUGUUAAGAGAGGAGUACCUGAGUAGGGCGGGACACGAGGAAUCCUGUCCGAAACCGCGGGGACCAUCCCGCAAGGCUAAAUACGACCGGAAGACCGAUAGUGGACCAGUACCGUGAGGGAAAGGUGGGAAGCACCCCGAGCAGGGGAGUGAAAUAGAACCUGAAACCGUCCGUCAGCAAGCGGUGGGAGCAGCGAUGCGACCGCGUGCCUUUUGCAUAAUGAGCCUACGAGUUCGUCCGUGCCGGCGAGGUUAAUCCAUUAAGUGGAGGAGCCGGAGCGAUAGCGAGUCUGAACAGGGCGUUCAGUCGGCACGGCGAGACGCGAAACCUAGUGAUCUACCCUUGGCCAGGCUGAAGGUGCCGUAACAGGCGCUGGAGGGCCGGACCGGUUUACGUUGAAAAGUGCUCGGAUGAGCUGAGGGUAGGGGUGAAAGGCUAAUCAAACUGGGAGAUAGCUCGUACUCCCCGAAAUGCCUUUAGGGGCAGCCUCGAGACAGCUUCACGGAGGUAGAGCUACUGAUAGGAUGAGAGGGCUUCGCCGCCUGUCGAUUCCUGACAAACUCCGAAUGCCGUGAAGUGAUUCUCGGGAGUGAGUCGCCGGGUGCUAAUGUCCGGUGGCGAGAGGGAAAGAGCCCAGACCAGCGUCCAAGGGCCUAAAGACCGUGCUAAGUUGACAGAACGAGGUGACAUCGCAGAGACAGCUAGGAUGUUAGCUUGGAAGCAGCUAUUCAUUUAAAGAGUGCGUAACAGCUCACUAGUCGAGCGAUGACGCGUGGAUGAUGAACGGGCAUCAAGCACGGCCCCGAAGACCUGGGAUCAUCGGAAGAUGAUCGGUAGGGGAGCAUUGGCGUCGGCAGAGAAGGACAACCGGGAGGCUGUCUGGAGCGGCGCGAAAAGAAAAUGUAGGCAUGAGUAACGACAACGCGCGAGAGAAACGCGCGCACCGAAAGCCCAAGGAUUCCUGAACAACGCUAAGCGGAUCAGGGUAAGUCGGGACCUAACGGGCACCCGAAAGGGGCACCGGAUGGCUAUGCGGUUAAUAUUCCGCAACCCGCCAUACAGGCCAGAAGAGACCCGGGAGUGACACUGCCGCCUUCUGACGGAACAGGAGGUUGAAGGGGGGUAGGGAGACUGAGCCCCGACAGUACCGAGAGUCUACGGACGAUCGGACAGAGCAGGUAAUCAGACCGGCAAGAAAAUCGGCAUGGCGAUAAGCGUAUGGCGGCCCGUACCGUAAACCGACACAGGUGGGCGAGGAGAGAAUCCUCAGGUGCUCGAGUGAAUCACGGCCAAGGAACUAGGCAAAUUGACCCCGUAACUUCGGGAUAAGGGGACCCUGCAGUAAUGUAGGGCGCAGAGAAAUGGCCCAGGCGACUGUUUACCAAAAACACAUGGCUAUGCGAAAUCGGAAGAUGACGAAUAUGGCCUGACACCUGCCCGGUGCCGGAAGGUUAAGAGGGGGUC